ACAAUAAUAAUAAUCAUCAUCAUCAAUAACAAUAAGAAGUUAACGAUCUGCGCGCGUGCCAAAGCGCUGCUCCCCACUUAUCGCGGGGGGCCCUGGGAGGCCGUGGCCACGUGGUCGCCAACCCGGAAGUGACCACGCGGAGGAGGCGGAGGCGGCGGCGCUGCUGCGGCCUUCGUCCGCGCAGCGGCCACGUGGCCGGGCAGCGGCUUCGUCGUCUGCAGAGCGUGUCGGGUCUCAUCGUCCCCCGGCGCUGGGCUUCGUUGGCGGACACGCAAAGUCUUCAACAAUCUACCACCAGCGUUGUGUUACGUGGCAGAAAGCUUGAGGCCGGUAACUCCAUCUACAUCGCACGGUUGGCAGUGUACGGCGUGAAAGAAGUUCAACAUGCAGAUCAAACAACGCGACACUAUUGGCCAUAUGCAGGCCGGUGCCAUACGGGGACAGCUGCCACUGGGGGCGCCCCCCUUGGCUAGACUGCGCCAGGACACCAGGAGGG